rfam:Gossypium hirsutum cultivar TM-1 chromosome 4, whole genome shotgun sequence
AAUCCAUGCAUCUGACAUUUCCGAAUUAAAUCUUUAAAUCAUCCCCAAGAAUCAUAUAAUGUUUCAUCCUCCAAUUAUCGAAAAAAUGUGAUGUCAUUUCUAAGCCU